UCUCCGUAGGUGAACCUGCGGAGGGAUCAUUACAGAGUUCAUGCCCUACCGGGUAGAUCUCCCACCCUAUGUUAUUAUUACUUUGUUGCUUUGGCGGGCCGUUAGGCUCCGGCCCGACUACCGGCCCCGGCUGGUAAGCGCCCGCCAGAGGACCCAAAACCCUGAAUAUUAGUGUCGUCUGAGUACUAUAUAAAAGUUAAAACUUUCAACAACGGAUCUCUUGGUUCUG
rnacentral:misc_RNA from 1 species